ncrna:Heliconius melpomene (postman butterfly) microRNA hme-mir-279d precursor
UGAUGAUCUUUGUGGGCGAGUUUGCUUCUGGUUCAUGUCAAAUUAACAUCAUGACUAGAUCCAUACUCGUCUGCAGCCAUCAACU